UAAAACGUUUUCAGGGAAGAACAAGUGCCAUUAAAUAGGGCGGCACCUUGACGGUACCUGACCAGAAAGCCCCGGCUAAACUACGUGCCAGCAGCCGCGGUAAUACGUAGGGGGCAAGCGUUGUCCGGAAUUAUUGGGGCGUAAAGCGCCGCGCAGGCGGUUCCUUUAAGUCUGAUGUGAAAGCCCACGGCUUAACCGUGGAGGGCCAUUGGAAACUGGAGGACUUGAGUACAGAAGAGGAGAGUGGAAUUCCACGUGUAGCGGUGAAAUGCGUAGAGAUGUGGAGGAACACCAGUGGCGAAGGCGACUCUCUGGUCUGUAACUGACGCUGAGGUGCGAAAGCGUGGGGAGCGAACAGGAUUAGAUACCCUGGUAGUCCACGCGGUAAACGAUGAGUGUUAGGUGUUAGGGGGUUUCCGCCCCUUAGUGCUGAAGUUAACGCAUUAAGCACUCCGCCUGGGGAGUACGGCCGCAAGGCUGAAACUCAAAGGAAUUGACGGGGGCCCGCACAAGCGGUGGAGCAUGUGGUUUAAUUGGAAGCAACGCGAAGACCCUUACCAGGUCUUGACAUCUUCUGCCAAUCCUAGAGAUAGGAUGUUCCCUUCGGGGACAGAGUGACAGGUGGUGCAUGGUUCGUCAGCUCGUGUCGUGAGAUGUUGGGUUAAGUCCCGCAACGAGCGCAACCCUUGAUCUUAGUUGCCAGCAUUUAGUUGGCCACUCUAAGGUGACUGCCGGUGACAAACCGGAGGAAGGUGGGGAUGACGUCAAAUCAUCAUGCCCCUUAUGCCCUGGGCUACACACGUGCUCCAAUGGAUGGAACAAAGGGCAGCGAAGCCGCGAGGUCAAGCAAAUCCCAUAAAACCAUUCUCAGUUCGGAUUGCAGGCUGCAACUCGCCUGCAUGAAGCCGGAAUCGCUAGUAAUCGCGGAUCAGCAUGCCGCGGUGAAUACGUUCCCGGCCCUUGUACACACCGCCGGUCACACCACGAGAGUUGGUACCACCGGAAGUCGGUGAGGUAACCUUUGGAGCCAGCCGCCGAAGGUGGACCAAGG
rnacentral:rRNA from 1 species